rnacentral:rRNA from 1 species
AUUGAACGCUAGCGGGAUGCUUUACACAUGCAAGUCGAACGGCAGCGCGGACUUCGGUCUGGCGGCGAGUGGCGAACGGGUGAGUAAUGUAUCGGAACGUGCCCAGUAGCGGGGGAUAACUACGCGAAAGCGUAGCUAAUACCGCAUACGCCCUACGGGGGAAAGCAGGGGAUCGUAGGACCUUGCACUAUUGGAGCGGCCGAUAUCGGAUUAGCUAGUUGGUGAGGUAACGGCUCACCAAGGCGACGAUCCGUAGCUGGUUUGAGAGGACGACCAGCCACACUGGGACUGAGACACGGCCCAGACUCCUACGGGAGGCAGCAGUGGGGAAUUUUGGACAAUGGGGGCAACCCUGAUCCAGCCAUCCCGCGUGUGCGAUGAAGGCCUUCGGGUUGUAAAGCACUUUUGGCAGGAAAGAAACGUCGCGGGCUAAUACCCCGUGGAACUGACGGUACCUGCAGAAUAAGCACCGGCUAACUACGUG